UCGCCCAAAAGUCCUGGAGGAACUCAGAUAUGAAAUUCAUAGAAUCAUAGACUUUAAGGUCAGAAGGACCAUUACGAUAGUCUAGUCUGACCUCCUGCACAACGCAGGCCACAGAAUCUCACCCACCCACUCCUGUAACAAACCCCUAACUUAUGUCUGAACUACUGAAGUCCUCAAAUCGUGGUUUAAAGACUUUAAGGUGCAGAGAAUCCUCCACCGAGUGACCCGUGCCCCACCCUGCAGAGGAAGGUGAAAACCCCCCAGAAUUGCAGAACUGCUAACUGCGUUAUGCAAUAUAUCGCUCAAAGCAGCCUCUGUGCCCGAUGCCUGGUGGAAGCAAACAUGAUGCUGAUUUUUUUUAAAAAGUCUCCAGCGGCGAUCCUGGCAAUUACAGGCCGGUAAGCCAGACUUCAGGACCAGGCAAAUGGGUCGAAACUACAGUAAAGAACAAAAUUAUCAGACACAGAGAUUAACAUGAUUUGUUGUGGAAGAGUCAACACAGCUUUUGUAAAGGGAAAUCAGGCCUCACCAAUCUAUUAGAAUUCUUUGAGGGGGUCAACAGCCAUGUGGACAGGGGGACCUAGUGGAUACAGUGUACUUAGACUUUCAGGAAGCCUUUGACAAGGUCCCACUCUAACGUCUCUUAAGCAAAGUGAGCACUUAAGGGAUAAGAGGGAAUUAUUUUUGUGGAUCAGUAACUGGUUAAAAGAUAGGAAACAAAGGGUAGGAAUAAACGGUCAGUUUUCACAGUGGAGAGAGGUAAAUAACAGGGUCCCCUAAGGAUCUGUCCUGGGACCAGUGCUGUUCAUCAUAGUCAUAAAUGAUCUGGAAAAGGGAUAAACAGUGAGAUGGCAAAAUUUGCAGAUGGUACAAACUACUCAAGAUAGUUACAAAGCAGACUGUGAAGAGCUACAAAUGGAUCUCACAAAACAAUGACUGGGCAAAAAAACAGCAGAUGAAAUUCAAUAUCAAUAAAUGCAAAGUAAUGCAUGAUGCAAAGCACAAUCCCAACUAUACAUAGAAAAUGAUGGGGUCUAAAUUAGCUGUUACCACUCAAGAAAGAUCUUGGAGUCAUUGUGGAGAGUUCUCUGAAAACAUCCCUCAAUGUGCAGCGGCCGUCCAAGCAAACAGAGUGUUGGGAAUCACUAGGAAAGGGAUACAUAAGACAAAAUAUCAUAAUGCUGCUAUAUAAAUCCAUGGUACGCCCACAUCCUGAAUUCUGCAGGCAGUUCUGGUCACCCCAUUUCAAAAAAGAUGUAUUGGAAUUGGAAAGAGCACAAAGAAGGGCAACAAAUAUUAUUGGGGGUCUGGAACAGCUUCUGUCUGAGGAGAGAUUAAUAAGACUGGGACUGUUCACCUUGGAGAAGAGAUGGCGACAGGCGGAUAUGAUAGAGGUCUAAAAAUCAUGGCUCAUGUGCAGAAAGUGAAUCAAGAAGUGUUAUUUACCCCUUCCAUAACACACAAACCAGGGGUCUUGCAAUGGAGCUAGUUUAAAACAAACACAAGGAAGUAUUUCUUCACACAAUCACAGUCAGUCUGUGGAACUCAUUGCCAGGGGAUGUUGUGAAGGCCAAAAGUAAAAUUGGAUUAAAAAAAAAUUACCAACAUUCAUGGAGCAUGGUCCAUCAAUGGCUAUUAGCCAAGCUGGGCAGGGACACAACCCAUGCGCCGACUGCCCCUAAAUCUGACUGCCGAAAACUGGGACUGGAUGCCAGGGGAUGGAGCACUUGAUAAAUUGCCCUUUUCUGUUCAUUCCCUCUGAUACAUCUGGCACCGGUCUCUGUUAGAAGACAGAACACUGGGCUAUUGGUCUGACCCAGUGUGGCCGUUCUUAUGUUGCGGGGAGGCUGGACCUGCCCGGGGGCUCCUGUCCGGUAAGCUAGCACAAGUUGAAAGUCUCCUGGGUGCUGCCAGCUGGUUCCCCCAGGCCAACCCUGCGGGCUGUGGAACGCUGGGACACCUCCCACCCGUCCCAGCUCCUAGGAGAACACAGGAGCCCCCGCAGCCUCCCCACCCCUGUGUUCCCUGCCAGGAUCAGAGCAGCUCCAGCCUGGGGUCCUGCUGCAACCUGGGCAGUGCCGAGAUGCUGGCAGGGUUGCUAGGAGAGCACAGGCUCCCACCCAGGUGCCAGGGCAGGGCCCCUGAUAAGCAGCAGGCUCUUGCCUAUCAGCAACUCCUGCCCAGAGCGCCCUAUCCAGCCCCUUAUCACAGGCCUCACAGGCGAGCGGCUUCCAGGAACCCUGAGCCCUGCCCCUCGGCCAGGCCAGCGGCCAGGCACGCAGGCCACACACACAGUGACAGCCCAGGUGAGCGCCCCACACAUGUUCUACCCAGAGUUCCAGUGGAGGAGCCCCUGCCCUCAGCAGGGUUGAGGUGACACCACCAGCCACCCUCCCUCCCCCAAGGCCGAGCCCUGCUCUGUGGCGGGGCACGUGGGCACAUGGACACCGGCAUCUGUCCCUCCCCAACCUAGCUGCCACCAGUUAUCUGGGUGCUGAGUCCCUCGGAAAUAGCCACGUGUUGCUCUGCACCAAGAAGAGCCUCUACCACCCCACCCCCACCCCCGUUGGCUGCGCCUAGCUAGGCUCCCUGCCUCAGUGGCUCUCCUAAGAGGUAUUUGCAAAGGCCCAAUGGGAGGGGGGAGCCGAGCAACCCCAGGGGUAUGGUCUAAUCGCACAAGCCUGGUUCUCAGGCCUGCUGAGCCUGCAGCUUCCUCAGGCAAUUUCAGGGGCACGCCAGGGAAAUAAGCGAUGCCUGGCUGGGGUGGGGGUCCCAGAGAGGCACAGCAGGUGCAGUCCUGUCACAGGAUGGAGCAGGUGCCAAUGCCUAGACCUGCGGGGACGGGAGCAAUCCACGGCAGUGCUGCCUCAGUUACUGACCAUCCCUGGAUGUGCCUCUGUGGGGCUGGGAUGCCCACGGUCGGGGCAGGGAUUGCGCCUGGCUCAGGGGACUCUUCGGUUUGUGCUGUACGUAUCCUGCUACUUAAUGGAGUUUCCUUUGGGAAAAAAGCAAGACCAUUUGGAAGCUGACAACCUCCAAGCUCUGGGCCAGCAGCGGGGCUCUGGUUCCUGCUCAGAGGAUCAGGGUCCAGCUUUGUAGCCCUGGGCUGGUGGUUGGUGGCCCACACAUGGAAUGAGUAUACAGGGUCUUAGCCCAGCUCCUAGCAGAUGGGAUGCCAUGGCACGAACACCAUGGCUAUAACCAGCCCUAAUUGGAGCUGGGCCCUGCUCUUGGCAGGCUGGGCAGAAAGUGGCCCCUGGGGCAUGAGCACCCCUGGCCCUAGUGCUCCUCUCUUCAGGACACGUUAGCAGGGUGGGGGGAAGAGCUGCUCCUGCUGCUCGGUUUCCAGGGCCCCUCCCGCUGGUGCCCAAGUCCCCCCGCUCUCGUGAUGUGCGUGUGCUAACCCUGAAGCAGGUGCCAGGCACGUGGGGUGGCCGUGGGCCCUGCUGGCCAUGGGCCAGGGCACCUGGGCUGGGCUCUUUUGAUGGCAGUCCUGGGGAAUGUGUGUAAUGACACUCGACACUCUGGUGCAGCUGUCACAGGCCAUUUACAAAGGGGAAGAACUUGCCCCUACAUCCAGGCCCCACCAGUACUUUUCUGACCCAGGGGAGCAAGGCAGGGCGCAGUGCUGCUGGGCCAGGUGGUUUGUGUGGGCCUUGUGCCGGGUGCAGGGGCCUUUCGCCCCAGGGGAGUGGGCAGGGUGCUAACUCCACACCAAGCAGACAGGACUCAGUUGCUGUCUUCAAAGCUCUGUCACUUCCUGGAGCUCCCUAGCACCGGGGCAGACUCUUCCCUGCGGCAGCUGCACCAAAGCCAGGCAGGAAAGGGUUAAAAGGGGGAGGGCCAGAUAUGAGCAGAUAGUUGAUAUGCAAAUGAGGCCAGAGUAGGUAUUAUAAGUGACUCAGCGGGAGGCGCUGGCUCUGGAGUGGAAAGAAGGAGCCCACUCCCCUCCCCAGCCUGGCCGCCGGCCCAGCCCAGCCUGAGGGCCUGAGCCAGGUUCCCUUUUCCAGCCCAGGCAGCAAGAGCGUCCACCCGCCAUGGGGGCUCUGGGCAGGAUAUCAUCGUAUACUGUAAGUUUGCUAUGAGACACUACAGUAUAGAUGAUGUACUAUCCUGAGCUUCACCCCUCAGCCAGGAGCUCUACUGCAGGUCCAGCCUGGCCAGCUGGGAGCAGCGGCCCAAAUCACUUCUAGCACAGCACAAGUUCCUCCCCCUCCUGCAGAGGAAUGGAGGGCUAAGUGGGGGGGGGGGUGGCCCUAAAGCCACCCAUGAAGGCCUGGCCCUGCCUGUGGCACCCUCGCCCCUUCAGCCCCUUCCUGCAUUCAGGGCGCUCCUUUUCCCCGGGUUCCAGCGUGGGACGGAAACAAGCGCUAUCUUCCUGCCGCUCUGGGGCACCUGCACGAACAGGCAGCAAGUGGGGAAGCAGCCAGUGGGGAAGAAAGGGUUAACAACCACUCCUCCCGCCAGGCUGGAGCCCUGCCCUGCUGGGGGGGUAUUCCACCUCCGCCUGGGCAAGAAGCAGCUGCCAGGAGGCUGAGCACACGGAGUGUCAAUGAAACCGUUACCAUUACUGACUUUAGUAAUGAUAACGGUUCUACUGCCACCCCAGCAUCCGGCCAGCGAGAGCACGAGGAGCAGCACCCCACCGCCAGGUGCGGAGCAGGACCCCUCCAGGGUGCCAGCCGCUACGGGAGGCCAGCCAUGAGACCUGCCCCCGGCGUCCUCUCAAAGCGGGGGAGGGGCAGGGGGAGAGCUUGGGGUACCCUGCCUGGGGGUCAGAUUCCCUUGGGCCACACCCCCUCUCCCUAGUCCCUUUGCCAAUCAAUGAGAAAUAAAGGUGUUUCCUUUGA